AGCUAGCCCUGAUGGUAACGGAAAUCCUAUUGCUUUUUUUUAAUAGAUGAAAAAGCAAUAGAUUGUAAUGGACAGCAGGUUCCCGG
rnacentral:sRNA from 1 species